AAGCUAAGUGGGAAACGAAGUGGGAAGGCCCAUACAGCCAGGAUGUUGGCUAAGAAGCAGCCACCCUUUAAAGAAAGCGUAAUAGCUCACUGGACGAGUCGGCCUGCACGUAAGAUUUAACGGGGCUAAGCUAUGCACUUAAGUUGCGGAAUAUAUUUAGUAUAUUGUUAGGGGAGCGUUCUGUAAUCCGAUGAAGGUUAAUUGAGAAGUGUGCUGGAGGUAUCAGAAGUGCGAAUGCUGAC
rnacentral:rRNA from 1 species